GGCUGAUGUUUGGCAGGGGUCCUGUUUCCUUUAGCUCCAGGCUAGAAAUUAUGGAGUUUAUGCAAAGUCCUGGUUUGCUUUGUGUGAAACUAAAUGAUGAAGUGAGCACUGGAAACUUGGGAAGAUAUGUGGCUUGUAGAAGACUGUGUUACCACCGGUAUGUCCCCAAAGCAGUAAUGAGUCGAUUCCACUCACAAAUUGAAUUGCAUAUUAUAUUUGACCAAUGUAUCAGGAAGAAUGACUUGGUGAACUGAAAUGGCCCUUAGUCAAGAUCUGGUCACAACCCUUGUGAAGUGAUCAUACCAAGUUGGAAG
rnacentral:lncRNA from 1 species